rnacentral:sRNA from 12 species
ACCUCCAAGCCUCUCUACGAUGCUCAAAUCGGGGGUC